GUCUCGGUCGAGCGGUAAGAGCGCUUGCCUCUUGUCCUGGAGUUCCGGGUUCGAUCCCCGGUCGAGCAGUA